rnacentral:siRNA from 1 species
CAACCGCCUCUUUAUCUAAGUCCU